rnacentral:rRNA from 1 species
UACAGAGGUCCCAAGCGUUGUUCGGAUUCAUUGGGCGUAAAGGGUGCGUAGGCGGCGCGGUAAGUCGGGGUGUGAAAUCUCGGAGCUUAACUCCGAAACUGCAUUCGAUACUGCCGUGCUUGAGGACUGGAGAGGAGACUGGAAUUUACGGUGUAGCGGUGAAAUGCGUAGAUAUCGUGAAGGAAGACCAGUGGCGAAGGCGGGUCUCUGGACAGUUCCUGACGCUGAGGCACGAAGGCCAGGGGAGCAACGGGAUUAGAAACCCGUU